rnacentral:rRNA from 1 species
AAUGACUGAGCGGCGAACGGGUGAGUAACGCGUGAGCAAUCUACCUUAGUUACAGGGAUAGCCCGAGGAAACUCGGAUUAAUACCUGAUAUUCUUUAUUUCUCGCAUGAGAAUAAAAGGAAAGGUCAGCCGAACUAAGAUGAGCUCGCGUUCUAUCAGCUAGUUGGUGAGGUAAAAGCUUACCAAGGCUACGACGGAUAGCUGGUCUGAGAGGACGAUCAGCCACACUGGGACUGAGACACGGCCCAGACUCCUACGGGAGGCUGCAGCAGGGAAUAUUGUGCAAUGAACGAAAGUUUGACACAGCGACACCGCGUGUGGGAUGACGGAUCUAGGUUUGUAAACCACUUUCAGGAGGGAAGAAAAUGACGGUACCUCCACAAGAAGCCCCGGCCAACUACGUGCCAGCAGCCGCGGUAAUACGUAGGGGGCGAGCGUUGUCCGGAUUUAUUGGGCGUAAAGAGCUCGUAGGCGGUUCAACAAGUCGGUCGUGAAAGUUCAGGGCUCAACCCUGAAAUGUCGAUCGAUACUGUUGUGACUAGGAUACGGUAGAGGUGAGUGGAAUUCCGAGUGUAGCGGUGAAAUGCGUAGAUAUUCGGAGGAACACCAAUUGCGAAGGCAGCUCACUGGGCCGCUAUCGACGCUGAGGAGCGAAAGCUAGGGGAGCAAACAGGAUUAGAUACCCUGGUAGUCCUAGCUGUAAACGAUGGAUACUAGAUGUAGGAACUGGAUUGACGGUUUCUGUAUCGCAGCUAACGCGUUAAGUAUCCCGCCUGGGGAGUACGGUCGCAAGACUAAAACUCAAAGGAAUUGACGGGACCCCGCACAAGCGGCGGAGCAUGCGGCUUAAUUCGAUGAUACCCG